CCUACGGGUGGCAGCAGUGAGGAAUAUUGGUCAAUGGGCGCUAGCCUGAACCAGCCAAGUAGCGUGAAGGAUGACUGCCCUAUGGGUUGUAAACUUCUUUUAUAUGGGAAUAAAGUGCAGUACGUAUACUCCUUUGCAUGUACCUUAUGAAUAAGGAUCGGCUAACUCCGUGCCAGCAGCCGCGGUAAUACGGAGGAUCCGAGCGUUAUCCGGAUUUAUUGGGUUUAAAGGGAGCGUAGGCGGGUUGUUAAGUUAGUUGUGAAAGGUCCGGGCUUAACCCUGGAAUUGCAGUUGAUACUGGCGUCCUUGAGUGUAGGAGAGGUAGGCGGAAUGCGUGGUGUAGCGGUGAAAUGCUUAGAGAUCACGCAGAACUCCGAUUGCGAAGGCAGCCUACUGAACUAUAACUGACGCUGAUGCACGAAAGUGUGGGUAGCAAACAGGAUUAGAUACCCGUGUAGUC
rnacentral:rRNA from 1 species